GGGGUAACCGGCCUACCAAGGCAAUGACGGGUAGCCGGUCUGAGAGGACGAUCGGCCACACUGGGACUGAGACACUGCCCAGACUCCUACGGGAGGCUGCAGUCGAGAAUCUUCCGCAAUGGGCGAAAGCCUGACGGAGCGACACCGCGUGCAGGAUGAAGGCCUUCGGGUUGUAAACUGCUGUCACGCCAUAGGAACCCGUUGGGGUUAAUAGCUCCAGCGCUGACCAAAGCGAGAGGAAGUGCCGGCUAACUCCGUGCCAGCAGCCGCGGUAAUACGGAGGGCGCAAACGUUGUUCGGAAUCACUGGGCAUAAAGAGCACGUAGGCUGUCCGCUAAGUCGGAUGUGAAAUCCCCCGGCUCAACCGGGGAAUUGCAUCCGAUACUGGCGGGCUAGAGGGCGGUAGGGGUAAGUGGAACUCCAGGUGGAACGGUGAAAUGUGUAGAUAUCUGGAGGAACACCGGUGGCGAAAGCGGCUUACUGGACCGUCUCUGACGCUGAGGUGCGAAAGCUAGGGUAGCGAACGGGAUUAGAUACCCCGGUAGUCCUA
rnacentral:rRNA from 1 species